CCUACGGGUGGCAGCAGUAGGGAAUAUUGCACAAUGGGGGAAAGCCUGAAGGAGCAACGCCGCGUGGAGGAUGAAGGUUUUCGGAUUGUAAACUGCUUUUGUGAGCGAAGAAAAUGACGGUAACUUACGAAUAAGGACCGGCUAACUCCGUGCCAGCAGCCGCGGUAAUACGGAGGAUGCAAGCGUUAUCCGGAAUCACUGGGCGUAAAGAGUGGGAAGUGGGGCUUGUAAGAUAUAUGGUAAAUCCUGGAGUUUAACUACCGAACUGCAUUUGAAACUGUGAGUCUCGAGUGUGGGAGAGGUAGGUGGAAUUCUUGGUGGAGGGGUUAAAUCCGUAGAUAUUAAGAGGAACACUAAUUGCGAAGGCGACCUACUGGAACAUUACUGACGCUCAGGCACGAAAGCGUGGGGAGCAAACAGGAUUAGAUACCCGAGUAGUC
rnacentral:rRNA from 1 species